CAAAAGAAGCCCUUUAUUUCACAAGCUGAAUUGUAAAUGUAUGGAAAUAUUCAAGUAACAGAAGGGGAAAAACAAAACAAACAUUUCCUCAAGUUCAAAAAGAAAUCCCUCUCCCUUCAUUACAGAAUCAGAGACAGUGUUUGAAUCAUACUGAGACAUUUAUUUAUGCAUGUAUGUUUUUUUUCCAUUUAGACUGAAUGCAAAUACAGCAAAUACACACCACCAAGCACUAGGGGGAUGUAGAGCAAAAGGCAGUGGAGACUUGGAGGUGGAGGCUUUACAGCAGAGCAGUUUGAUGGUCUUCACAGAGGGAAAAAAACUCACAUCCGUGAUCCAUACUGUGCUGGUUUUCUAAAGUUAAUGGGGCCAAAAACGUUCGUCAUCUCGUUGAGGACCAACAUUUCAUAUUCAGAGAGACUCCUUUUCUCGCUGCCUUCAAAGUCAUAUUCUUUACAAGACAGUAAUUCGCUUUCGAGACAGCUCCUCUUCACCUUGGGUGGAGAAGAGAGGUCGUUCCUCCAUCUGCCUCGUGGUGAUUAAGAGCACUUUCAGGCGUGCACUGAUAAUUGCUCCCGCGGCUCUUAACAUAAGGCACCCAUUCGUGUGACAUUUCUAUUGCACCGCUGUCCUUCGGGUUCUACUUACUGCCUCGUCCCUCACAUAAAAACACAUCUCUGCUCCUGUCAGUUUCUACAAAGUGUACAGGCUAAUACACAGAAGUACAGAUAUUUAUAUAUAAAUACAGGUCCUCCAUCCUCCAACUCACCACCUCAUUACACAGCUUCUCUCCCGAUGCCUACAGUUGUUCUUUUCCAUCAGUAGUGUGUCCAGACCUACAGCAAAGACAGGCUUUCCCCCCAGCAGGUUACAGUACAUGUGCUGCAAAUCAUUGCAAGCAAGUGCCUUCUCAACAGUCCAGUGUCAUAUGACCAGGUAAAAUAAAACAGAGCAAAACGGAAUAUACAAAUCAUCAGUUUUCUCCUGUUUUCCACAGACACCACCAACAGCAGGUCAACAGGUUCAAAUCAGGGCAAAGGGAGGAUUAGAUGAAGAGGGCAACAAAGCCAUGGUCACAAGUGUUGGAAAGAUUCCUUCGAAUGUCAUUUUACAACUCCGUGUUGUUGGUUUUGGUUACGCUUUGAUACACACGACAGUUCACAGUUUUCUCCCUUUAGAGGACACAGAAUAAGAAGAAUGUCUGCUUAUUGCAAAUCUCACAAGCAGUGCGCGUCACUGCUUCAGGUAACAGUAGCACGAAAAGUUAACAGUGACAGCGGGGACACAGGCUAACACGGGUCGGGCUCCGUUAGAGGGAUUUGUAUGUUUGAUAGCUGAUGCAUAGUAUAGUAUUAAAGGUCACCCAGAAUCGACGGAUAUACAAUAUGAGACAACCAGCACGCUGUGUGGGUGGAGGCCACUUAACGCAUGACAUACUAUACGCUUUGUCUGUGAUGUGAAAAAGGGAGGAGCCGACCACUCCUAUAAAUACAAACUCAUAAACCACAACUUCAAAAGGUUAACCUGAAAACAAAACAAAAAAAUGAGAGAGAAAAAGUACCCUUGUUAAUCUUGUGUCUUGAACUCUUCAGGCUGUGUCUGCAAACAUGCGCACAAUCCAAGAACCAGUCGCUAUUUAAAGAGCUGCUAUGAUCAGUGGUUUUACAUAACAAGCUAAUCAAAAGAAAAAAACUGACUCUGUAGUUUCCUUAGCAUUUUAGCCCCUUUCAGCUCACUGUUUUGGUUCACUCUUACACCU
ensembl:lncRNA